rnacentral:rRNA from 1 species
AUGGAUUGGCCGGUGCUGCCGGCUGGCGUCAAGUUCGAUCCCACGGAUCAAGAGCUGAUCGAGCACCUUGAGGCCAAAGUGACUGCCUACAACGCGAGAUCUCACCCUCUCAUCGAUUUGUUCAUACCAACCAUCGACAGCGAGCACGGCAUAUGCUACACCCAUCCUGAGAAACUUCCAGGUAUCACACUGAGUGGCCUAAGCAAGCAUUUCUUCCAGCGCAAUUCCAGGGCGUUCAAAAGGGGCACAUGGACGUGUCGCAAGAUUCAAUCGGAGUGCGGCACGCACGUGAUGUGGCACAAGACCGGCAAUACCUUGCCGGUGGUGGUCAACGGCCGGCAGACGGACGACAAAAAGGUUCUGGUGCUGCACACCAACAAGAACUUCGACCAGCAGAGGACCAACUGGGUGAUGCACCAGUACCACCUCGGGACCUAG